rnacentral:rRNA from 2 species
GGAUCCAGACUUUGAUCAUGGCUCAGGAUGAACGCUAGCUACAGGCUUAACACAUGCAAGUCGAGGGGCAGCGGGAUUGAAGCUUGCUUCAAUUGCCGGCGACCGGCGCACGGGUGAGUAACGCGUAUCCAACCUUCCGUACACUCAGGGAUAGCCUUUCGAAAGAAAGAUUAAUACCUGAUAGUAUCUUAAGCACACAUGUAAUUAAGAUUAAAGAUUUAUCGGUGUACGAUGGGGAUGCGUUCCAUUAGGUAGUAGGCGGGGUAACGGCCCACCUAGCCAACGAUGGAUAGGGGUUCUGAGAGGAAGGUCCCCCACAUUGGAACUGAGACACGGUCCAAACUCCUACGGGAGGCGGCAGUGAGGAAUAUUGGUCAAUGGACGAGAGUCUGAACCAGCCAAGUAGCGUGAAGGAUGAAGGUCCUACGGAUUGUAAACUUCUUUUAUAAGGGAAUAAACCCUCCCACGUGUGGGAGCUUGUAUGUACCUUAUGAAUAAGCAUCGGCUAACUCCGUGCCAGCAGCCGCGGUAAUACGGAGGAUGCGAGCGUUAUCCGGAUUUAUUGGGUUUAAAGGGAGCGCAGACGGGUCGUUAAGUCAGCUGUGAAAGUUUGGGGCUCAACCUUAAAAUUGCAGUUGAUACUGGCGUCCUUGAGUGCGGUUGAGGUGUGCGGAAUUCGUGGUGUAGCGGUGAAAUGCUUAGAUAUCACGAAGAACUCCGAUUGCGAAGGCAGCACACUAAUCCGUAACUGACGUUCAUGCUCGAAAGUGUGGGUAUCAAACAGGAUUAGAUACCCUGGUAGUCCACACGGUAAACGAUGGAUACUCGCUGUUGGCGAUAUACUGUCAGCGGCUUAGCGAAAGCGUUAAGUAUCCCACCUGGGGAGUACGCCGGCAACGGUGCAACUCAAAGGAAUUGACGG